rnacentral:rRNA from 1 species
GACGAACGCUGGCGGCGUGCCUAAUACAUGCAAGUAGAACGCUGAAGAGAGGAGCUUGCUCUUCUUGGAUGAGUUGCGAACGGGUGAGUAACGCGUAGGUAACCUGCCUUGUAGCGGGGGAUAACUAUUGGAAACGAUAGCUAAUACCGCAUAACAAUGGAUGACCCAUGUCAUUUAUUUGAAAGGGGCAAAUGCUCCACUACAAGAUGGACCUGCGUUGUAUUAGCUAGUAGGUGAGGUAACGGCUCACCUAGGCGACGAUACAUAGCCGACCUGAGAGGGUGAUCGGCCACACUGGGACUGAGACACGGCCCAGACUCCUACGGGAGGCAGCAGUAGGGAAUCUUCGGCAAUGGGGGCAACCCUGACCGAGCAACGCCGCGUGAGUGAAGAAGGUUUUCGGAUCGUAAAGCUCUGUUGUAAGUCAAGAACGAGUGUGAGAGUGGAAAGUUCACACUGUGACGGUAGCUUACCAGAAAGGGACGGCUAACUACGU